rnacentral:rRNA from 1 species
GACAGAGGUGCCAAGCGUUAGGCGGAAUCACUGGGCUUAAAGCGUGUGUAGGCGGGUGCCUAAGUACCUUGUGAAAUCCCACGGCUCAACCGUGGAACUGCUGGGUAUACUGGGUGCCUUGGGUCAUCUAGGGGCUGCCGGAACAAAUGGUGGAGCGGUGAAAUGCGUAGAUAUCAUUGGAACGCCAACGGCGAAAGCAGGCAGCUGGGGAUGCACCGACGCUGAGACACGAAAGCCAGGGGAGCGAACGGG